GAGGAGCUAGUCCAACUAAGACACCUGACUUCGGCCCAGACAAUUAUGGUUUAAGCCCAUAGCCCCUCU
rnacentral:tRNA from 1 species